UUGGUCCUCUGACUAUUGGGGUAGUACUCUUUUUAGUCCUCGACUUUCAAUUCGACCAAAAUACAUACCUCGACUUUCAUUUUUGACCAUAAAUAGUCCUCCGCUAAAAUUUCUAUUCGAUUGU